CUCCUUCCAUGGAGCCUGGAUUUUGCUGUUUUCCACUGUUAUAUUUUAUUUUGUUUUGAGAACAGUCUCACACUGUACCCCAGACUGGUCUGGGACGCUAUGUGUAGUCCAGGCAGAUGGGGCAUGUCCAGCAAUCCUCCUGUCUCGGCCUCCUGACUGCUGAGCCAGCAGGUGUGAACCUCCACACCAGGCUGACAGGAUGAGGGUUCUGAGAGAAAUGGAUACACUUAGUGGUCUGUCUGCUGACCCCAUGGUUGAGCUCUGGGCAUAAGAGCCAUGCGGGGCUCGGCAGGUCACAAAUCGCUCUCAUACAACGUCACAAUGCCACAGAGGAGACAUUCGCCCCCUGCUUUACAGCUGAGGAAGCUGAGGUGACUUGCUCACAGCCACAAGGUAAGGAAGGUAGGGACCAGGUACCAGACCUCACAGCCUCACCAAGAACUGGGCCCAGAAGCUUUAGGGCUGAGAGAAGGAGAAAGGACAAGACCAUUGAGGGCUGGGAUCAUGCCAUCGAGACCUAGGAUGAGGACUUUGGAAACCAGGUCUCUUCACUGGCAUUUUACUGACCAAUUAGGCUAGACCGACUGGCCAGCGAGCCCAGGGAUCCUCCCACCUCUCCCUCUCCGGUGCCUGGAUUACAUGUGCUCAUUACUACACCCAGUUCUUGUUACCUGAGGAUUCUGGGGAUCAAACCCAUCCUCACUGUUCAGCCAGCACUUACUAACUGAGCUCCUUCCCCAGUCUCUGAAAAUUCUGACGCACUGUUAAAACCCUUUCUGAGAAAACAUGAUUUCCCAAAUCCCAGCUUCAAUGGGAAUCUGGGCACGCCUGGCAUUCCGGAGCACCCCACUUCUGCUAAUAAUGAUUUCACAAAUGAUCUCUGAGAUGGAAGGCAUCGCUCCAAAAUGGCCACACAGCAACUAUAAACGGAGUUCCAGACAAAUGACUCAGUGACAUCUGAAUCAAGGCAGUGACCAGCUGUGCGUCACAAAGGGAGCAGCAGCCGUAAAUGUCCACAGUGAUGUGAAAUACCAGACUGCUUUCCGCAUCCUAUAAAAUGGACAUAAAUAUUUACUUCGUACUAUAAUUACGAAGAGGGACCCUGGAUUGUCAUAAAACCUAAAGAUUGAUGAUAACCCAACCACCUCUGUAGCGUAAUAAAUUCUGCCUGAGGUUAUACAGUU